rnacentral:rRNA from 1 species
UUAAGCGACUAAGCGUACACGGUGGAUGCCCUGGCAGUCAGAGGCGAUGAAGGACGUGCUAAUCUGCGAAAAGCGUCGGUAAGGUGAUAUGAACCGUUAUAGCCGGCGAUGUCCGAAUGGGGAAACCCAGUGCAAUUCGUUGCACUAUCGUUAACUGAAUACAUAGGUUAACGAGGCGAACCGGGGGAACUGAAACAUCUAAGUACCCCGAGGAAAAGAAAUCAACCGAGAUUCCCCCAGUAGCGGCGAGCGAACGGGGAGCAGCCCAGAGUCUGAAUCAGCUUGUGUGUUAGUGGAACGGUCUGGAAAGUCCGACGGUACAGGGUGAUAGUCCCGUACACCAAAAUGCACAGGCUGUGAACUCGAAGAGUAGGGCGGGACACGUGGUAUCCUGUCUGAAUAUGGGGGGACCAUCCUCCAAGGCUAAAUACUCCUGACUGACCGAUAGUGAACCAGUACCGUGAGGGAAAGGCGAAAAGAACCCCGGCGAGGGGAGUGAAAAAGAACCUGAAACCGUGUACGUACAAGCAGUGGGAGCACCUUCGGGUGUGACUGCGUACCUUUUGUAUAAUGGGUCAGCGACUUAUAUUCUGUAGCAAGGUUAACCGUAUAGGGGAGCCGCAGGGAAACCGAGUCUUAACUGGGCGUUAAGUUGCAGGGUAUAGACCCGAAACCCGGUGAUCUAGCCAUGGGCAGGUUGAAGGUUGGGUAACACUAACUGGAGGACCGAACCGACUAAUGUUGAAAAAUUAGCGGAUGACUUGUGGCUGGGGGUGAAAGGCCAAUCAAACCGGGAGAUAGCUGGUUCUCCCCGAAAGCUAUUUAGGUAGCGCCUCGUGAACUCAUCUUCGGGGGUAGAGCACUGUUUCGGCUAGGGGGUCAUCCCGACUUACCAACCCGAUGCAAACUACGAAUACCGAAGAAUGUUAUCACGGGAGACACACGGCGGGUGCUAACGUCCGUCGUGAAGAGGGAAACAACCCAGACCGCCAGCUAAGGUCCCAAAGUCAUGGUUAAGUGGGAAACGAUGUGGGAAGGCACAGACAGCCAGGAUGUUGGCUUAGAAGCAGCCAUCAUUUAAAGAAAGCGUAAUAGCUCACUGGUCGAGUCGGCCUGCGCGGAAGAUGUAACGGGGCUAAACCAUGCACCGAAGCUGCGGCAGCGACACUAUGUGUUGUUGGGUAGGGGAGCGUUCUGUAAGCCUGCGAAGGUGUGCUGUGAGGCAUGCUGGAGGUAUCAGAAGUGCGAAUGCUGACAUAAGUAACGAUAAAGCGGGUGAAAAGCCCGCUCGCCGGAAGACCAAGGGUUCCUGUCCAACGUUAAUCGGGGCAGGGUGAGUCGACCCCUAAGGCGAGGCCGAAAGGCGUAGUCGAUGGGAAACAGGUUAAUAUUCCUGUACUUGGUGUUACUGCGAAGGGGGGACGGAGAAGGCUAUGUUAGCCGGGCGACGGUUGUCCCGGUUUAAGCAUGUAGGCUGGUUGUCCAGGCAAAUCCGGAUAAUCAAGGCUGAGGUGUGAUGACGAGGCACUACGGUGCUGAAGUAACAAAUGCCCUGCUUCCAGGAAAAGCCUCUAAGCAUCAGGUAACAUUAAAUCGUACCCCAAACCGACACAGGUGGUCAGGUAGAGAAUACCAAGGCGCUUGAGAGAACUCGGGUGAAGGAACUAGGCAAAAUGGUGCCGUAACUUCGGGAGAAGGCACGCUGGUGUGUAGGUGAAGCCCCUGCGGGUGGAGCUGAGACCAGUCGAAGAUACCAGCUGGCUGCAACUGUUUAUUAAAAACACAGCACUGUGCAAACACGAAAGUGGACGUAUACGGUGUGACGCCUGCCCGGUGCCGGAAGGUUAAUUGAUGGGGUUAUCCGUAAGGAGAAGCUCUUGAUCGAAGCCCCGGUAAACGGCGGCCGUAACUAUAACGGUCCUAAGGUAGCGAAAUUCCUUGUCGGGUAAGUUCCGACCUGCACGAAUGGCGUAAUGAUGGCCAGGCUGUCUCCACCCGAGACUCAGUGAAAUUGAACUCGCUGUGAAGAUGCAGUGUACCCGCGGCAAGACGGAAAGACCCCGUGAACCUUUACUAUAGCUUGACACUGAACAUUGAGCCUUGAUGUGUAGGAUAGGUGGGAGGCUUUGAAGCGUGGACGCCAGUCUGCGUGGAGCCAACCUUGAAAUACCACCCUUUAAUGUUUGAUGUUCUAACGUUGGCCCCUUACCGGGGUUGCGGACAGUGUCUGGUGGGUAGUUUGACUGGGGCGGUCUCCUCCCAAAGCGUAACGGAGGAGCACGAAGGUUAGCUAAUCCUGGUCGGACAUCAGGAGGUUAGUGCAAUGGCAUAAGCUAGCUUGACUGCGAGCGUGACGGCGCGAGCAGGUGCGAAAGCAGGUCAUAGUGAUCCGGUGGUUCUGAAUGGAAGGGCCAUCGCUCAACGGAUAAAAGGUACUCCGGGGAUAACAGGCUGAUACCGCCCAAGAGUUCAUAUCGACGGCGGUGUUUGGCACCUCGAUGUCGGCUCAUCACAUCCUGGGGCUGAAGUAGGUCCCAAGGGUAUGGCUGUUCGCCAUUUAAAGUGGUACGCGAGCUGGGUUUAGAACGUCGUGAGACAGUUCGGUCCCUAUCUGCCGUGGGCGCUGGAGAAUUGAGGGGGGCUGCUCCUAGUACGAGAGGACCGGAGUGGACGCAUCACUGGUGUUCGGGUUGUCAUGCCAAUGGCACUGCCCGGUAGCUAAAUGCGGAAGAGAUAAGUGCUGAAAGCAUCUAAGCACGAAACUUGCCCCGAGAUGAGUUCUCCCUGAGACUUUAAGUCUCCUGAAGGAACGUUAAAGACGAUGACGUUGAUAGGCCGGGUGUGUAAGCGCAGCGAUGCGUUGAGCUAACCGGUACUAAUGAACCGUGAGGCUUAACCUU